AAAGGCUGAAGUCAUUGGAGGUGUCAAGAGGCUUUCCCCACAAGAAUAUGGUCCCAGCUUUCUAGAAGCAGGACCCUUGACAUCUGCACCUUAGGUCUUCUUCUUCUUAAAAAGCAAAACCAAAC